CAUUACAAUCACUUUUAUAAGAUGCGACUUUAUUAAGCAUGAAAGCGAUAUUUUAAGCAGUUAUAUAUUCCAUUAUGUUCAAACAAGAAUGGAUUGUUUUGUUUUUACUUGGAUGUUUACAAAGUGGAUACGCAGGCGCAGACCCAACCCGGAUCCCUAUCUCGGCAAUCAAUGCGACAACAAAUGGUACCGCAUAUUCAACCUGGACAGCAGAUAGAGUCAACGAUGGUUUGAUACAUAGCAAAUCUAUAUAUGCUUACGCGGGCGAUUGCAAUUGCUGCACUGCCUUGGAAAGACCAUCUUGGCUGCAAAUGACACUGGACAAAAGAUAUCUUGUGGAACGAGUUCUCUUGAUUGGACGUGAAGAUAUACAUACUGGUCAGUUUGAUGUACUGGAUGUGUCAGUGGGUCUAAUGAAUGGUCCCCUUCAGGGCGAACAAUUUACUUCGACCAAUGAGACUGUUAAGGAGUUGAUACUGACUCCUCCACGUGUAAUAAGAGUUGUACGAGUUACUGGGGGUGGCAGAAGCGACGUAAUGACAAUAUGCGAGAUUAUGAUA